rnacentral:lncRNA from 1 species
GUGUCCUAAAACCAUGAUGUAUUUAGAAACUAGAAAAAUCAAAUAUACAGUUUGAUUCUCUAUAUAAGAUGUCUCUUUUGCAGGAAAUAGUCAGCAUUCUGUUAUUCAGGCAACAGUCAGCACUGCUCAGGAUUCAGCCCCAGUAACUGUGUUUCAGCCAGCUAGUCCAGUUCAGGUGAUCCUUCCAACUGCCUGCCUCCCGUCUUGCCAACCAGUGCCAGCCUCAUCUACUGUCCUGCCAGUAAAGACUGAAGCCAGCCGUAGUGUAGCCAUGCCAGCUCCCCUGCGCAGCCUGCCUGAGCUCAAGUUUCCUCUUGUGCCUGGGGAUAUUGUGCGUGAAAGCCCCGAGACAAAACGCAGCACCCAACCUCAGUGCAGCGCUGCUCCUGAGCUGCCCAAAUCCAAAGAGAUCCCCCAUGCCAACAUGCCAGUCUGCUCCAGAGACUCCCAGCUAGGCGUUCCAGUCCUCCACCACCCUCCCAUCUUCCCCCCUCGCCCCCUGGCACACCCAGCCGCUCUCUUUCCUGCCCCGCCAUUCCCCUACCCUCCUCCAUUCUUUCUACCAGGACCACACUUCUUCGCACCCAGCCCUUGUCCUUACAACCGCACUCCAUUCAACUACACUGAGUACCCCAACCCCAUGGCAGACUUUUUCGGCUACUAUGAGGAGCACUAUCAGAAGCACGAGGCCAUGUUUUCUGCUUUGAACCGUGACUAUCCCUUCAGAGCUGGCGUGGAGGCCGGAGGGCCCAGGGCAGGCCCCCGGCCUGGACAGGCCUGUCCCUCCAGCCACAGCUCGGAGGAGUACCUCGGCCUGGGGCCGGCGCUGGACAUCGGCGUCUUCAGCGCCCCCCUGCCACAGCCCCCCCGCCUGCAGAGAGUCAAUGUCACGGACUCGGACGACGAAGAGGAGGAGGGCGAGGAGCGAGUGCUGAGGGUUUUAUAACUGGACUGUAGAGGACCGUUUCACAGCAAGGCUGUGGGCUGGAUAACAUACUGGAAUAGAAACACUUCAAAUUUUCCCAUUUUAUAUUGCAUGUUGCUCAUGGUCUGAAUCAUAGUUUUUUUUUUUAAGAAAAAGAGCAGCAUGAUUCUUUUAACUGUCAUUUCUGUUUUAGGAUUGUCUUGUAAUCUGAGACUCCAAAGAUUUUGUUCUCAUGCUUACCCAGCUGUAAUGGAAUACUUCCAUGUAUGUUCCGGUCACAUUACUAGAGAUAAUAUACUGUGUAUAAAAUCAAUGUGGGUGUUUUGAAAGGAAUUUACUUCAAUUGCUCCAUGUCAAAAGUAUGCCCCAUUUCACUCUCCAAUAAAUUUGCUAUUGAGAAGCUUUUGAGAGUGUUCUAUAGUGUUCUGUUAUUAUGAAAUGUUUUGAUCACCUCUAAACAAAUGCAAAAUAGAAGGUGAUAGUAGUGAAGUAAUGGGUUG